rnacentral:rRNA from 1 species
GACGAACGCUGGCGGCGUGCUUAACACAUGCAAGUCGAACGGAAAGGCCCCUUUGGGGGUACUCGAGUGGCGAACGGGUGAGUAACACGUGAGUAACCUGCCCUUGACUUCGGGAUAACUUCAGGAAACUGGGGCUAAUACCGGAUAGGAAUCCUUGCUGCAUGGUGGGGGUUGGAAAGCUUCGGCGGUUUUGGAUGGACUCGCGGCUUAUCAGCUUGUUGGUGGGGUAGUGGCUUACCAAGGCUUUGACGGGUAGCCGGCCUGAGAGGGCGACCGGCCACAGUGGGACUGAGAUACGGCCCAGACUCCUACGGGAGGCAGCAGGGGGGAAUAUUGCACAAGGGGCGGAAGCCUGAUGCAGCAACGCCGCGUGCGGGAUGACGGCCUUCGGGUUGUAAACCGCUUUCAGCAGGGGCGAAGCUUGUGGUGACGGUACCUGCAGAAGAAGCACCGGCUAACUACGUG